rnacentral:rRNA from 1 species
UACGGAAGGGGGCUAGCGUUGCUCGGAAUCACUGGGCGUAAAGGGUGCGUAGGCGGGUCUUUUAAGUCAGGGGUGAAAUCCUGGAGCUCAACUCCAGAACUGCCUUUGAUACUGAGGAUCUUGAGUUCGGGAGAGGUGAGUGGAACUGCGAGUGUAGAGGUGAAAUUCGUAGAUAUUCGCAAGAACACCAGUGGCGAAGGCGGCUCACUGGCCCGAUACUGACGCUGAGGCACGAAAGCGUGGGGAGCAAACAGG